rnacentral:rRNA from 1 species
GACGAACCGUGCGAACGUUAUUCGGAAUCAUUGGGCUUAAAGGGCGCGUAGGCGGCGGUGUAAGUUGGAAGUGAAAUCCCAUCGGCUCAACCGUGGAAUUGCUCCCAGUACUGCAUCGCUCGAGGGGGAUAGGGGUCUGCGGAACUACCGGUGGAGCGGUGAAAUGUGUUGAUAUCGGUGGGAACGCCAGUGGCGAAAGCGGCAGACUUGACCCUUCCUGACGCUGAGGCGCGAAAGCCAGGGGAGCAAACGGG